GCCAGACUCCUACGGGAGGCAGCAGUGAGGAAUAUUGGUCAAUGGGCGGGAGCCUGAACCAGCCAAGCCGCGUGAAGGAAGAAGGCGCCAGGCGUCGUAAACUUCUUUUGUCGGGGAACAAAGGGCGCCACGCGUGGCGUUGUGAGUGUACCCGAAGAAAAAGCAUCGGCUAACUCCGUGUCAGCAGCCGCGGUAAUACGGAGGAUGCGAGCGUUAUCCGGAUUUAUUGGGGUUAAAGGGUGCGGAGGCGGGGCCGGAAGCGCGGUGGAAAAGGCCGGGGCACAACCCCCGGCGAGCCGUUGAAACUGUCGGACUAGAGACGGCGAGAAGUACGCGGAAUGCGCGGUGUAGCGGUGAAAUGCUUAGAUAUUGGGCAGAACUCCGAUUGCGAAGGCAGCAUACCGGCGGCGAUCUGACGCUGAGGCACGAAAGCGUGGGUAUCGAACAGGAUUAGAUACCCGCGUAA
rnacentral:rRNA from 1 species